rnacentral:SRP_RNA from 1 species
GCCGGGUGCAGUGGCGCGUGCCUGUAGUCCCAGCUACUCGGGAGGCUGAGGCGGGAGGACAGCUUGAGCCCAGGAGUUCUGGGCUGUAGUGUGCUAUGCUGAUCGGGUGUCAGCACUAAGUUCAGCAUCAAUAUGGUGACCUCCCGGGAGCGGGGGACCACCAGGUUGCCUAAGGAGGCGUGAACCAGCCCAGGUAGGAAACAGAGCAGGUCAAAACUGCCAAGCUGAUCAGUAGUGGGACCACACCUGUGAACAGCCACUGCACUCCAGCCUGGGCAACAUAGGGAGACCCUGUCUCUU